rnacentral:lncRNA from 1 species
CCCUUAUGAAGUCAUUUGGAUUGAUUAUCUCCCCAAAAUACAUUAUACACAAAGUAUAUAUAACCUACUGUUACCUCAAACCUGACAGUAUCAAACAAAUCUUUUUGUUCACCCCCUAUGAAGUCAUUUGGAUUGAUUAUCUCCCCUUAAUACAUUAUACACAAAGUAUAACCUUCCGUUACCUCAAACCUGACAGUAUAAAACAAAUCUUUUAGUUCACCCCUUAUGAAGUCAUUUGGAUUGAUUAUCUCCCCUUUAUACAUUAUACACAAAGUAUAACCUUCCGUUUCCUCAAACCUGACAUCAUAAAACAAUCUUUUUGUUCACCCCUUAUGAAGUCAUUUGGAUUGAUUAUCUCCCUUUAAUACAUUAUACACAAAGUAUAACCUACUGUUACCUCAAACCUGACAGUAUAAUACAAUCUUUUAGUUCACCCCUUAUGAAGUCAUUUGGAUUGAUU